CCUACGGGGUGCAGCAGUCGAGAAUCAUUCACAAUGGGGGAAACCCUGAUGGUGCGACGCCGCGUGGGGGAAUGAAGGUCUUCGGAUUGUAAACCCCUGUCAUGUGGGAGCAAAUUAAAAAGAUAGUACCACAAGAGGAAGAGACGGCUAACUCUGUGCCAGCAGCCGCGGGAAUACAGAGGUCUCAAGCGUUGUUCGGAAUCACUGGGCGUAAAGCGUGCGUAGGCUGUUUCGUAAGUCGUGUGUGAAAGGCGCGGGCUCAACCCGCGGACGGCACAUGAUACUGCGAGACUAGAGUAAUGGAGGGGGAACCGGAAUGCUCGGUGUAGCAGUGAAAUGCGUAGAUAUCGAGAGGAACACUCGUGGCGAAGGCGGGUUCCUGGACAUUAACUGACGCUGAGGCACGAAGGCCAGGGGAGCGAAAGGGAUUAGAUACCCUAGUAGUC
rnacentral:rRNA from 1 species